CUCACAAAUAAAAACAGUAGCUAUCUGUUGAAACGUAUCUGUGACUGGGGGUCUUUAUACAACAAGGAGGCACACAGAGGGUGAGGGUGAGGAGGCACACAGGGGGUGAUGGUGAGGAGGCACACAGAGGGUGAGGGUGAGGAGGCACACAGAGGGUGAGGGUGAGAAGGCACACAGAGGCACACAGAGGGUGAGGGUGAGGAGGCACACAGAGGCACACAGAGGGUGAGGGUGAGGAGGCACACAGAGGGUGAGGAGGCACACAGAGGGUGAGGAGGCACACAGAGGGUGAGGGUGAGAAGGCACACAGAGGGUGAGGGUGAGGAGGCACACAGAG
ensembl:lncRNA